CGAGCGAACAGACGAGGAGCUUGCUCCUUUGACGUUAGCGGCGGACGGGUGAGUAACACGUAGGUAACCUACCUAUAAGACUGGGAUAACUUCGGGAAACCGGAGCUAAUACCGGAUAAUAUUUCGAACCGCAUGGUUCGAUAGUGAAAGAUGGCUUUGCUAUCACUUAUAGAUGGACCUGUGCCGUAUUAGCUAGUUGGUAAGGUAACGGCUUACCAAGGCAACGAUACGUAGCCGACCUGAGAGGGUGAUCGGCCACACUGGAACUGAGACACGGUCCAGACUCCUACGGGAGGCAGCAGUAGGGAAUCUUCCGCAAUGGGCGAAAGCCUGACGGAGCAACGCCGCGUGAGUGAUGAAGGUCUUCGGAUCGUAAAACUCUGUUAUUAGGGAAGAACGAACGUGUAAGUAACUGUGCACGUCUUGACGGUACCUAAUCAGAAAGCCACGGCUAACUACGUGCCAGCAGCCGCGGUAAUACGUAGGUGGCAAGCGUUAUCCGGAAUUAUUGGGCGUAAAGCGCGCGUAGGCGGUUUUUUAAGUCUGAUGUGAAAGCCCACGGCUCAACCGUGGAGGGUCAUUGGAAACUGGAAAACUUGAGUGCAGAAGAGGAAAGUGGAAUUCCAUGUGUAGCGGUGAAAUGCGCAGAGAUAUGGAGGAACACCAGUGGCGAAGGCGACUUUCUGGUCUGUAACUGACGCUGAUGUGCGAAAGCGUGGGGAUCAAA
rnacentral:rRNA from 1 species